rnacentral:tRNA from 1 species
GAGGGUAUAGCUCAGUGGCAGAGUGCGUGCUUAGCUUGUAGGACGCCUGGGUUCAAUCCCCAGUACCUUCA